rnacentral:tRNA from 1 species
CCUGGUGGCUCAGAGGGUAAAGCGUCUGCCUGCAAUGCAGGGGACCUGGGUUCAAUCCCUGGGUCAGGA